AAAUGCUAAUUCAUGCUACUAACGUUUAAACAUGCUAGUAACAUGCUAAUCAUGCUGACAACGUUAAAACAUGCUAAAACAUGUUAAAUCAUGCUAUAAACAUGCUUAUCCAUGCUAGCAAAGUUCAAACUUUCAGAGAAGGCUUUGUCAAGCCAACAUCAAAAUUUUUUUACAAACUUUACUCAGCUAGUUAGAAAAUAAUGCUUAUUAGUUUAUUUAGAACUACUAAUGGAGGCUUGAGCCACUGUAGGCUGUGAGGACCUUUUAAAUCACUGAAAUCAUUUGGCGAAGUGAUAUAGAACUGUAAUGUGGUCAAGACCUGCCUGGAACUACUUGCGUUUCCCUGAAAAUAUUGCACACCUUAGAAUCAGAUUCAAGCAUUCAACAGUCCUGUAGUAUAACUAAAUAUAUUAUAGUGUUAUCUUAUUGUUAUUUUCCAAUCAAGGAGCUCUUAAAUUCAACAUAAAUUCACAAACCCAUUUUACAAAACUCUCACACUUUCUGACUAAUAUAUAUCCAGACACCAGAUGGAUUGAAACAUCACCGUGGUGCAUUUUGCUUUCUCAUAGAGGGCAGAGGAUGAUGGGAAAACUAUCGAGCGGCAUUAACUGUGAGCUCCUGGCUGCAUGGAAGCACAGAGAGAAUAUUAUGAUGUUUACUGUAAUGCCUGCUACCAUUCAUAUUCCAUAUCAGCGUGUGCAGAGACAAUCAGAGGGCUUGUGGAGCACUUCAAAGCGUGUGUGAGGAGUGCAGAGGGCGACCGCGAGCAUUCAGUGUCACUCAAGAUACUGUACAACCCCUCUGUAAACAACCGCAGGAAAGACACGGAGACGAGCCGCUGUUCUGGCACCAUUAAAAUUGAAUUGUUUCCGAGGGAACAGGCGUGAGGAAACGAGAGCGGAAAUACCGAAAGAAAACACGUUUGAUCAAAGUGAAACUGUCGUAGGUGGAGCGCCGGACACAUGAUGGAGAUGCAGGAGAACAACUGUGAAUGUGGCCACAUAUCAUCAGUGGGGUCAGAAACGGUCAGCGGGAACAUCAGUCACAAUCACAGUCGCCUCCAAUUACGCUCCCCUUGAAAAGCACCAUGGCGCCGGGACUCAUUAAUCGGUUUUGGCGGGACAAAGGGACGCUUCUGCCGCUCUGUAGCGGCCGAUAAAACCGAGCGAAUUCACAGCCGCAGUCUGAAUCCCAGCAGCCCGAUCCGAGCAGAAAGGUCACAGUCACACUAAUAAAGCACUCCAACCACGGCACGGCACACGGAGACGCAGAUCCGUUCUGAGAAAUCCAUCAGUAAUUCAGAGACAAACAGCCAUGUGGGCAUCAACCCGGCUUUAUCAUUCAUAUGAGUGCAGGUCUGGGGUGCUGCGGCUCGGCCUCCUGCAGUCGAGUCUCAUUAAAUGGACAGAUCAAGAGGAGGAGACACUGGCCUCUCAUCCACAUCCAUCUGUUAUGUCAUGAAUUCACUUUUCCUGCACAGAUUUUAAAGGCACAUGGAAGAUAAAUGAAGCCAAGAGCAUUGAGAGAAACGACAGCAUGCAACAAACACUCCAACAGUUUUGUGUGGAUGUUUGAGCAGCAGUGAUCCUGGUCGCUCAGAUAUACAACAAAGUCAGUAUUAUUAUCUGUAUUUUGUGUCAAUUUAUGUGCUGAGAUCCAUAUAAAUACUGCUGUGACCAUAAAAAUCUAUUUUAUCAUCUUAUAUUUAUACAUUUUUAACAUGAAAGGGAAGUUGCGCUCGUCUUUUCUUCCUUAUUGUGCAUAUACUCGAGUGAAACGCUUCUCAAACAAGAACAAAUGUAGGGCGGGGCUUGAUGGUUUGCUAUUGGCGGAUCUCAAGUGACAGGUUGCUCCGCACACAUCGUCAGAGAAGAGAAUAUAUAUAUAGCAACAAUUCAUAUCUUUAGCAUCUGGGUCACAUUUGGCAGGUAAUCUCAGUUUUACGUCUUUCGUAUUUGCGUACUUAUGCCUGUAAGUAAAGAAAUAAAGGUCUGGCUACUACAAGGAAGGUUAGAUAUGUUACUUACUUACUCAGACGUGAUAUUAUUGAGAUGUUAAUGUUUUUGGUGUAGAUUUAUGCUCUCAUAUGAAGAUCACAGGCAAACCUGGGUCAACCAUGAACUAUCAGACUCAUCAGCGAAGUAAAGCGAGCGAUGCACAAUUUAUUUAAAAUAAAUAAAAUAAUUUCAUGUGCCACAGAUGGUGAAAAAGAGGUGAAAGUUUUGCAGUGCAGCUUUAACCCUGUAAAAUAUAAAAUAAUAUUUAGAAAAAUCUUUUUUUUUUUUAAAUAGAACCGUUUACUGAACCUUUAGACAAAAUAUUUAAAAAGUUUGCAUAUGUGUUUUAUGUCGAGUAUCAUAUUUUAUCAGGUUUUUAAGGCUCGUACAGUCUGAUAUAGUGAAAAUAUGGAGAAAAACAACUGAUUUUUAUUCAGAGAUUCAAUUUUAAUUGAGUUAAAUUUUCUGCAGAUGCUGAUAUUUAUAUGGACAAAAAGUGAUGAAAUUCUGAUGCUUGUGAUGUAAAUCAAUGAGAUCUUUAUAACAGCAUAGCAUAUACUUGCCUAAAAUGCAUCUAAAUAUCAAAUAUUUGCCAAUAAUAUGUCUAAGUAAGAUGAUAUUUAAAUGCUUAGUUUUAUGAUCAAAGCUCUGUAGUUUUAAAACAUAUAAUGCAAUGCAAUACAACGAUGAUUGAGAGAUGAACAAAUAAACCUUCCUAAAAAGAUGAUGAUCAUAUUUGAGUAAUCAAGUAAACCUGCUUCAGUCCAGUUGAAAUAUUACUAACAAUAUCAAAGUUAUUCUCACGUUUACUUUAUAAUCAGUGCAGAUUUCACAACAAAAGGACACGAGCUGAAGGGCGUUUGUAUAAUUAUACUAAAAGACCUUUACUUGCUAAAAAAGUCUAAACUAUCAAUCAGAGACAGAAGGACUGGAGGAGAUUGAGCGUGACAGGUUUAUCAGAUCAUGUUGAUCAUUCAGAGACUGUAUCUUUAUAGGAUAGCAUACCACUCCAAUAAAGAUAUGAUAGAAAUAGAAAGAGAAAUAUGCUGCAGUCAUAUGCUAUUUCAAAUUCAUUAUAUCUGUUUACACCAAGUGCAAAUAUUCAACCUAGUUGGUAAAGGCUAUUUUCUCUCACUCCACACCAUUGCUGAGGUAUUUUACCAUAUUACUUGUGUGUGAACAGCAUCCAUCACUAUUAAACUCUCACUGAUUACUCAAAACAAAAUCAAAUUAGCCAAAAUAUUUCAUAAACACUCAAGCAGCAGGAGAACGAAUACGUGGAUGUGUGUGGGCUGAUCAUAUGUAAUCAUAUAUGGAUGGAUAUGAGAGUUUCAGCUGAAUGGGCUCCAGCUGCAUUAUGGGAUUUGUUGGUUCGUGCUCUUUAUGUGUCGGAUGAUCCUCUCUAAUUAAGCAGCAGACAAAUAAAGCAAAGACAGGGCGCGCUCUAAAGGCUCGUUUAAAGGUCUUUUAAUGAGUCUUUGUCAUGACAUUUAGAGCAGAUAUCAGCGCAGGGCAUGUUCUGUAAAUCAAGGCUCAUAAAGUUAAUAAUAUGAUUGCCGAUGAUACGAGGAAAGGUCAGUUCACUCCACUGUAGAAGAGACGUCCACACCUCACCUCAGCAUUAUUCAUCUGAAAUACGCUGAUGCAGAAGUGAGCAUGUGGAACAUUCGUUUAGAAAGAGCUUCAAGAACAUUUCAACUGUGAAAUUCAUCAAAUUAAUUUCACUCAAAUAGUUUACUAAUUUAAGGUAAGAAUCUAUACUCAAAACCAUUGAUAUUUCAUGCACUGGUCAAUUUUGAGAUUUUGGGCUAUUUUGAUUCUACAGCAUGUCUACUUUUAGACUAGUGGACAGAAAACAUGCAAACUACACUUUUAAGUGUUCAUUUUAUUGCACUUUACCUAUUUGCGACUGUAGGUUUUAAUUUCCAUACAUUUCUUUAAAGAGUUUUUUCUCCACUUCAGCAGCACUUACAAACACCAAAACUUACAGUUUUAUUCCUGUCUAUAUUCUGAAGAUUUUUACUGAGGGGUUUGUUCAUAUUGUAUAAUUCACCAAAUUUAUAUAACAUUUUAUUUCUAAAAACAUGGUGAAAAUGUAUUUUUCUGUCUGUUGACAGUGUUUUCUGUAUUAUAUGUUUAUGUUUAUGUUUAUUUCUUUAUUUGAAAGGGGACAAUGUACAUUAAUAAACAUUAAAACAAUGUAAAUGUACCUGAGUUAGCUCAAAAGUGCUAAUUUUCAUCGGUACAAAAUCAAAAAAAAAAAAAAUCGCCACUGUGAAAACCUUUAACUGUAAUAUUAACAAAACAAAAUAAGAAUUUUGAACCUUUAUUAGAGCAUAUUUAAUGAGAUUAUGCAUAAUUUGCAUAUUUAAACAUAACAUUUCAGAAAAAUUGUAAUACCAAAAAUGUUUGCAAUUCUUAAUGUAAUCAAUCAACUAGGGCAGUACUAACAUUUAACCUGGGGUGUCAUGUCUUAAAGAUGUUUCUUUAGAGCUGCACGAUUAAUUGUUAAAAGAUUGCGAUCUCGAUUCAAACACCGCAUCUUAUUUCUAAAUUACAGCUAUUCGGAUCCGUCUAUUAAACCUUUGACAAGUCCGAUCACAGCGAACAUUCAGAUCUGUGUUCUGAUCCAGAGAGAGCCAUUGUCAUGUAUAGGUAUGAAACAGCUUUUACAAGCAGUCUUUUCAACCACACAGUAUCAUUACUUCUGUCUUACAAUAAUUCAGAUUAUCACAGAAGUACUCAGAUAAAAGUUUAUAGUUCAGAUAUAAACACUGAUGUCUACGGUAGUGAUCAAAAUAGAGUGAAUCACCUUUUG